rnacentral:rRNA from 1 species
UACGGAGGGUGCAAGCGUUAUCCGGAUUUACUGGGCUUAAAGGGUGUGUAGGCGGGCUUUUAAGUCAGUUGUGAAAUCUCCGGGCUCAACCUGGAAACUGCCAUUGAUACUAUUAGUCUUGAAUUUUGUUGAGGUAGGCGGAAUAAGUCAUGUAGCGGUGAAAUGCAUAGAUAUGACGUAGAACACCAAUUGCGAAGGCAGCUUGCUAAACAAAUAUUGACGCUGAGGCACGAAAGCGUGGGGAGCAAACAGG